UACGUAGGGUGCAAGCGUUGUCCGGAAUUAUUGGGCGUAAAGAGCUCGUAGGCGGUUUGUUGCGUCGGCUGUGAAAUCCCGAGGCUCAACCUCGGGUCUGCAGUCGAUACGAGCAAACUAGAGUGUUGCAGGGGGGACUGGAAUUCCUGGUGUAGCGGUGAAAUGCGCAGAUAUCAGGAGGAACACCGGUGGCGAAGGCGGGUCUCUGGGCCGUAACUGACGCUGAGGAGCGAAAGCAUGGGGAGCGAACAGG
rnacentral:rRNA from 1 species